GUCCAAGGCGCGGUGCAGGGUGGACUUCACCCUGCGCAGGUUGGUGAAAUGUCCCCUUUGGGAGACGGGACGAUCCAGUUCCACGAACUCUGUGGACAAGCCACUGAUCUGCCCCAGCCACCCAGUUCGCAAGACGAGAUUUUUGUUGAAGCUGGAACGGGAUUCCUCCAUCAUUCCCGCAUGGCAUUCAAGACCCUACUGUGACUAGCCACUCCAAAAACUCCUACACCACCCUCCACCCCCAGGACCAGCCACCUCUGAGACGGCUCUGGAUGUUUCUGUGCCAGGAUGCCCUCCUUUGCUUAUCAGAAAUCUUCAAGGUGUAAGUACAAGCCCCACUUCCUCAGGAACUCUACCACAUCAAGCACCUCCGCUAGCCUGACUUCUCAAGGCCUCCAUGGAUGUGACCCUCAAUCCACUCAGGCUUUGGUGACUGCUCACUUACACCCUCCAUGGUGGGAAAUGUAAAGAAAAGCCUGAAUCAGGAGUCCGGAGACCUGGGUUCAAGUCCUGCUGCCUGGCCAGGUCUCGGUUAUAUAUCCCCUUUUGCUGUCUUUUUCCCCUCUACAGAACAAAUUACCUUUAUUAAA